rnacentral:lncRNA from 1 species
AUGCACUUGUCUCUGGGCCCUCCCGCUAGCCACGGCCCGGUGAGGCCCGCGUGGGCAGCGCAGCCUCAGCUCCCGUGCAGCAGCGUCCCACACCAGGCACGGCGCACAGGCUCCUGCCCGGCGCUGUCCAUCACAGCGGGGCCCGGACUGAGCCCGGGACAGGCACACUUCCACACACGAGUCGCAGCUCGGAGGCAAAGGGGACAAGGACGAGGUCCCUGUCCCGGAGCCUCCCACGGCCCGCCGCCACCUCCAGCUCGUGUCCCCGAGGCUUGGGGAUGUCCUGGGACUUCAAAACCCUCACUGAAAAUGGAAUCAGAAGUGGAUUUGGGUGCAAAAAUUCUGACAUGCACGCAGAGCGUUCUCACAACGCGCAUUUCCCGUGGACUUAAAGACCCGGCGUGCGGCUGCAGGGGCCCAGGAGCCCCGAGGGGCUGGCAGGCCGCAGCUCCACCCCAGGCUUCCACCACGAGGCUCACCCAGGAGUCCCAAGCCUCUGACCCCAAGACCUCGGAGGCCUCAGGGGUGCGGCCCCGGCCAGCUGACUUCACCCAGGAUCAGUGCCCCCAUCUCUGGUCAAAAUCCCCAGGUUCCCUUCAAGGGAGAGGCCCCCACACGGCUCCCCAGGGGCGCCCCACAGUGCUGGGAGGCUCGCCUGGGAGUCGCUGGCCGACCCCAACAUCGCCACAGCCGGUCGUGGUACACACCCCCGCUUCAAGCCGAUGGGGUCCCUCCCUGCCCACACAGAUGAGCCUGUGGCCGAGGUGGCUUGCGUCCCCCUUCUGUUGGUCCAUGACCCACACCUCGCCAUGCACAGGGCGAUGCCCUCUGCGCUCCGCAGCUCCCGUCUGGCUGUGUUUGCUGUGGGUGGACGCUCAGGUCCUGAGUCCAGACUCGCCGGCACCCACGGCACUCGUCCCCUGUGGCAUCCUGGCUCCGUCUGGCCCAGAGGACACAGCCCUGCGGGGUCUGCUGCACGCGGGAGGACCUCCUGCAGGGCCCUGCCCCGCCCGUGCCUGGAGAUGCGCGCCCCUCCGCCCCUCCGGCCAGGGGCCCCCGCCUACCUCUGGCCCGGCUCUCAGAGGCCAGCGUUCACCCACUCGCACAGCUGUGAGCUGA